AAAUCAUUCCUAAGUUUGAAAGAUCAUAUCGUAUGACUCGUCGAGCGUAUCUGUGCCACUGGUUUUUGUUAGCAUAGUUGGAGUAUCGUUGUAAAGGUCAUAGUAGCGUAAAGGAGUUCGUGAACAUCAUAGACUAUAAGGAAUAUUGUGACAUGCAUAAUUGGUAGAGAAGUACUUGUCUGAUUAAAUUGAGAAAUGACUAGAUGGUUUGGUGUUUGUAAAUUGGAAACGCGAAUUGAAAUGUGAAUAACAAACGGACACAACGAGAACAUUCAGGACUCAUCGAUGGGUGAGUGUCUGGCAGAGGACAUCGGGGUCCUUUAACUGGCCCGGCAGGAGCUAAAUGCUCAUAUUGGAUACUUCCGGACUCAUCUAUGGGUGAGUGACUGGCAGAGGACAUCGGGGUCCUUUAAUUGGCCCGGCAGGAGCUUAGGCUCAAACACAUGAUACGAAAUUGGUUUAUGAAGUUGAUAAAAGAGAUUUUGGUUUUGGUUU